rnacentral:rRNA from 1 species
UGCUCUUUAAACUUGCACCUUGCGGAUUCCACUAUUAAGAAACCUAUGGGAAGAAUUAAUGAUGUUCUUAUUGUUGCAAAUAGUAAUUAUGUGCCCGUAGAUUUUAUUGUUCUUGACAUAGAUUGCAAUCCUUCAUGUCCUAUUAUUCUUGGUAGACCUUUCCAUAGAACGAUUGGUGCAAUUAUUGAUAUGAAGGAGGGGAAUAUUAGAUUCCAAUUUCCGUCAAGGAAAGGCAUGGAACACUUCCCUAGAAAUAAAAUUAAAUUAACUUAUGAAUCUAUUAUGAGAGCCACUUAUGGAUUGCCUACCAAAGAUGGCAACACCUAG